rnacentral:rRNA from 1 species
GGGGGAUAUUGCACAAUGGGGGGAACCCUGAUGCAGCGACGCCGCGUGGGUGAAGGAGCGUUUCGGCGCGUAAAGCCCUAUCGGCAGGGAAGAAGGAGGACGGUACCUGACUAAGAAGCCCCGGCUAACUACGUGCC